UACGGAGGGUGCGAGCGUUGUCCGGAUUUAUUGGGUUUAAAGGGUGCGUAGGUGGCUUUAUAAGUCAGUGGUGAAAUACAGCCGCUCAACGGUUGAGGUGCCAUUGAUACUGUAGAGCUUGAAACAAGUGGAGGUUGCCGGAAUGGAUGGUGUAGCGGUGAAAUGCAUAGAUAUCAUCCAGAACACCGAUUGCGAAGGCAGGUGACUACGUUUGAUUUGACACUGAGGCACGAAAGCAUGGGGAGCAAACAGG
rnacentral:rRNA from 1 species